CAUAUUCAUACACCUCAUACAUGAUGCAUAAAUUGCAUUCAAACAAAGGAUUCCUUCUGGUCAAUGUCAACUUCUUCCUCUUAAUCCUGACAGCGUCUUCAGGGCUGAUCGAGGUGGGAAGAACUCAAUAAGAGAGCAAAAAAUUCUUUUUCUCUGAAAGAUUAAGGUGUCCUGUGGCUGCUAUCUCAGUGCAAGUCCACUCUUAAAAAAGUAUCUUACAUAGCAUAAUUUCUAUUUUAACAUUAUGUUAUAGCCUAAAACUAUAUUUACCACACUACUUAAGAAAAUUAAUACAGCAUAACUUUCUAACAUAACACAUAUAAUAUUCAUUUUAAUAUUUGCGAAAAGCCAAUCAUAUAAUAUGCAUUUUUCACAUGGUUGCAUGGAGAUACCUGUUCCGUGCCAUCCCAGCCCUGGAUAGUGGGUCAGAGAUGGGGAGUUCGGAGGGUGGAGAUGGCGCCGACACCCCGGGGAGAAGAUCGCCAGACCGGGCAGCUUUCAGUUUUUCUCCGGCUCCACGUGGUCCGGCAAAAGGCGUGGGGACUCCCUGCGGAACCUGUCUCUCGUCUGGAGAUUAGGUUCGGCCGACAAGUCUUGGUCCCUACGUCUCUGGGAGGUCGCUGUCUCCUCUUUCCGCCACAGCAAUGCCGCCGAGAGCGAUAGCCGCGUCUCGGUCAGGCCCGGGAGACGGCGCUUCCCUGCUUGCGCCGCUUUAGGCCCCUCCGUCGCCGCUGGCAGCGUCGGAACUAUCACCACCGCGGCUGACAGGUCAGUUCUCCCCUUUCCUGCGAAGAGUUCCUAGUGGGCCGCUGCGGCAGCCAGCCCCGCCUUAGCCCACCCUGCCGGCCGGGGACCGACUCUUUCAUGGCCGGCAGGAGAUGCAGUUCCUGGCUUAAGAUCCCCAUCCCCACAUCGACGGUGAGGGAGGAAUCAGCUCCACCGUCGGCGGUCGCCACGACAACACUGAUCGCUCUGUCAGCUUCCUUGUUGUCAGCCACGGAGCCUGCGCAGCUCUACCGGCCACGCCCAUCGUCAAUGCCCUCUGGUGGGUGUCUGUUCCAGCCGACCUCACACCCCUGGCUGGCUUCCCCCUCCUUUUCCAUGGCACCUGCAUGGACGACAGCGACCGUAACCCCUGCAUCAGCGCCGUCUCUCCAAACGCUUCGCCGUUGCAGCCCGCGGCGGUGGUGGUAGUGCCACCGGCCGCGGCCGCCCCGCCCACCAGCAUGCCUCCAGCCAAGCCAUCCGUGGCUGGGCCCCCGGCUGCGGCACGGCCGGCGGCUGGCCCCUGUGCAUUUGGGCUUGCAACCGGCCCUUCGGCUUCGCGGUCCACAGUCAGUCAUUCGACUUCAGAGCCUUUGGCCGACCCACCACUCCCUGCUGCCCGCAGGCUGUCCUCCCCAUCCCUAGAUGAGGACAGCAACAGCAAUGAAUGCCAGCAGCCAGCCCCCCGGCGGGGACGUGCCUUGGUGGUGGAACGCCGGCACGGACCGGCGGAAUCAUUGUCUUGUUGGGUGACAGUGCACCCCAAGAACCCUCGCAGCUUUUGGGAUGCAGUUAAGAUACGAGCUUCAGAAGCUGGGGAUGGGGUCCUGUUGGACAGGACGGGAAGGCCAUGGUGUACAGCUGACACCACACUUGCUCCGGGGCAAGGGGCCACAGAUGUCGGUCAGACAGCUUAGCUGGUAUCUGUGGGGGAAACACAGGUGGUUCAGGAGGACCAUGUUCUGCCACGAGGCAAGGUGCAAGCUUUUCCUGUGUAUAAACCUGUCCCAAAUUCAGGACACUUCGACAGGCAUGAUGUGAUUGCCUGGCGAGUGAUCCAGGAUUUACAAGAGAAGGUUGCAAAAUAUGGCCUUGGCUCCGUGCAAGUUAUGCAGGCUCUCUGAAUGAUAAACUCAGACCUGCUUGCUCCCUUUGAUAUUAAACAUAUUGCUCAGGCACUGUUCCAGCCUGUGCAAUAUGAGGGUUUUUUUGACAGCUGGAGGCAGGCUGCUGAAAAGGUUGCAGCAAGCAACAGGCUUCUGCCUUGGGAAGACCCUAGGUAUGGCGUGGGGGUGGACGCUCUCCUCGGAGAGCAGGCCUUUUCCAAUCCUGAUUUUCAGGCUACCUGGGACUCUGCCAUUCUUGAGCAGUGUCAAAGGGUAGGAUUUAAUGCACUGUUGGAAACUAUUGAGACGACCUCUCCCAGGCCACAGUUUACAAUGAUAAUUCAAGGAGCAGGUAAGCCUUUUUUGCCAUUUGCUGAGAAGCUUGCAGCUGCCCUGGAGAAACAGGUUGAGGAUAAUACCUUAAGGUGGAUUUUAUGCAAGCAGUUAGCUCGAGUCAACUCAAACAGUGAGUGCCAGAAGAUCAUAGAUGCUCUUCCAGGUGACCCGACACUAGCAGAUAUGAUCAAUGCAUGUGCCAAGACAGGUUCUGUAGACCACAGGGUGUCUGCUCUGGCGGUUGCUUUACAGCCAGGCCAGAUACCCUUAGGGGGCGGACAACAGAAAAAGAGCAAAAAUAAGGGCAAGAGAAAGCAAGGAACACCCAAACCAACAGGGCUGGGUGCCACCUUCUUGUGCUCUCGAUGCCUAAGGGAAGGUCAUUGUUAAGACCAAUGCAAGGCUAAAUUUCAUGCCAAUGGCCAGCCUUUGGUAGGCCCAGGAAAUGGAAUGAUGAGCGCACAGGGGAAUUUCGCACUGACACGAGUGAUUCCUCAGAGCAUGGCGCCGGCUCACGUCUGCCCAGCCAGCUCGGAGGCAUCACCCACAGAUCCGCCGGCGUGGAUGUAUGUACCACUGAUGCAGUCGUCUUAGAAUCCUGUUGUGAACAUAAGGUUCCUUUGGACAUGUUCGGAACUUUGGGACAUGGACUGGGCAUGCUGCUUGUGGGAAAAUCUAGUGUCACCCACCAAGGAAUCUUUGUUCACCCGGGAGUCACUGAGUCUGACUUUUCAGAUCAGAUUUGUGCCACGGUUUCCAUGCCCUCCCCCCCGUCACUAUUCCGGCAGGGACUGGGAUUGCUCAACUUGUGCUUUUUCAGUCAUGUGUCUCCAGGACUGACCAGCAGACUCAUGGGAGUGGUGGCUUCGGAUCCACAGGACUGCCACAAGCCCUCUGGUCUGCAGACAUUUCUGCUCAGCGACCCCAGAUGGUGAGACACACCUGCCUCGAGUGAAACACGGGAUAUGAGACCUAGCCACUAAUAAGUGGGAGGGCCUGUACGACCUUAUCACUUGGGGCUGCGGGUAUGCAUGCGUUUCCACAGAUAUUGGAGUACGAUGGGUACCUGUGAGGUGUGUCCGCCCUGACUUGCAACAUCACAAACAGAAUGUGGCCAACAGACAACCACCGAAUGAUGGUCAAGAUGCCAACCAUCAAUCAGAUGGCCCCUCCACGACUGGGGAGUGAACAUUCCAUCCUUUCUUUGCUUCUGAAAAAGGACUUUUGGCAGGCUAAGACUGUCAGUUCUUUGAACCAAUUAAUGAUAAGUUGUUAUUACAUUAUUAGACUUAGUAUUGAGAUUGUAUUAGAAUAAGUAAAUGAUUUUAGGAUUGAUAGUGCAUUUCUUGUAAGAGGGAAUAACAAGAUCUGAUCUCUCUGACCAUUUCAAAUCGGCAUCCGAUUGAGGUUCUUAUUUAAAACUAGCAACUGCUAGAGGAACCUCUGGAGCUGUGUUUGUUCUCCUUCCUGCAAGGGGCCCCACAGAGGAUUACAAACACCGCCUCCUCCUUUAAAAAAAAAGAGGGACCUGUGGAUGAGACAGCCUGGUCAGAGAGCGAGAAAACCAGAUAAGUUUUCUCACAGCAGACAUGUGAGACUUUCAGGGAGUUGUAGUGAAAUGAUGAUAGCUUGUUAUUAUAAACAACCUGCAGGUAGUGUUUUCCUACUCUCUGUUUUCCUGUUUUUCUCAAGGAUUGUUUAUAAGAAAGGUGUUUUUGUUAACUAGCAAAUGAGGUGAAAUGUAUUGGAAUAGUCUAUAAAAAGAGAGGUUUUCGUAUUAAAGCUACUACUGUGCAAACCA